AGUGAGAUGGCAGAGUGGUUAAUGCGUUCCGCUGUAAACGGAAUCUGUGAAAACGGUCGGGAGUUCGAAUCUCUCUCUCACUA
rnacentral:tRNA from 1 species